CUUGGAUACACGCUUCACAUUGCAAAAAAGUGCCUGCUCCAGAAGAGGCUAAGAGGCUAAUCCUGCUGAAAUAUGAAUUUAUUAUGUGUCUUGUGUUUUCUUAUGCUGCUACACUUUGCCUGGGCCCAACAAGUGGCCAUAACCAAAGAUAAUCAUGUUUACACUUUCUGGUACAAUUCUUCUAAUACUGAUGUAGCUACAUACACCUUUGAUUACUGUGACAUAGUUACUUGUACAUUUCCAC